GGGGGCGUUUUGGCUUCGACGGGGGUAAGAUGGGUUUGAUAAGCGGGUCGAGGUAAGCAUGUAACCUCGUUAAUAAAGUAUGCAUUAAAGAUAAACGCAGAAGACAAUUUUGCAUUAGCAGCUUAAUUUAGCUGUUCAUCAGCCCAGGUUGCCUACGGCUUGGAUAACUGGUGUCAUUGAAGUGGGAAACGAAGUUUAGCAAAGCUUUGAGCUAAAGGGGUAUUUAUGAAGCUAGUGAAUUAUGUGCCUGUCUAUAGGCGGCAUAAGGAGCGAAUGUUAAUAUAUAGACUACACUCGUAGAAAGUCAGGCUGGUCUGCUUUCGGACAGGGGUUCGAUUCGU
rnacentral:tmRNA from 1 species